GUUUUAUUCUGCCGUCAGACAAUUAGCUAGAUGGCCGCAUUAUGGUCCGUGUUUGAUGAAAUCGAGCCCAGUGAUAUCGCAAAAUCAUCUGGUGAUGAAGAAACAUCGUUGACUGCUUAUAGGAUUUCGGAGGACGAUCUCAUCUCAGAUAUAUGGCAGGUAACGAAACCGAGUCAUGCCAUUAUAUGUGAACGAUGAGAGCUUUGGUGUGGAGACCACAAACUCUUCUGUUUUAAGAGACGAACAUGUAGAUUCAACUUUUUUUACUUCUUAAUGGUGUUCUGGUCUUGAUAGUAAGGUCUUCUUUUCCUUUGCCAAUGGCUACGGCUUGUACAAGAAGAUCGAGGCCCAUCAUAUCCCUUAAAGUGAACACAUACUUCUCAAACAAAAGUUUUCCCUCC